rnacentral:rRNA from 1 species
GAUGAACGCUGGCGGCGUGCCUAAUACAUGCAAGUCGAGCGAACAGACGAGGAGCUUGCUCCUCUGACGUUAGCGGCGAACGGGUGAGUAACACGUGGAUAACCUACCUAUAAGCCUGGGAUAACUUCGGGAAACCAGAGCUAAUACCGGAUAAUAUCUUGAAACACAUGGUUCAAUAUUGAAAGACGGUUUUGCUGUCACUUAUAGUUGGAUCCGCGCGGAAUUGGCUAUUGGUGAAGGUAACGGUUUACCAAGGCAACGAUGCGUAGCCGACCUGAGGGGGGAAUCGCCAACACUGGAACUGAGACACGGUCCAGACUCCUACGGGAGGAAGCAGUAGGGAAUCUUCCGCAAUGGGCGAAAUCCUGACGGAGCACCGCCGCGUGAGUGAUGAAGGUCUUCGGAUCGUAAAACUCUGUUAUUAGGGAAGAACAAAUGUGUAAGUAACUAUGCACGUCUUGACGGUAACUACUCAGAAAGCCACGGCUAACUACGUG